rnacentral:rRNA from 1 species
ACCGCAAGGCCUGACGCGAUUGGAUGAGCCCAUGUUCGAUUAGCUAGUUGGCGGGGUAACGGCCCACCAAGGCGACGAUCGAUAGCUGGUCUGAGAGGAUGAUCAGCCACACUGGAACUGAGACACGGUCCAGACUCCUACGGGAGGCAGCAGUAGGGAAUAUUGGACAAUGGGCGCAAGCCUGAUCCAGCCAUGCCGCGUGAGUGAAGAAGGCCCUCGGGUUGUAAAGCUCUUUUGUUGGGGAAGAAAAGCAGUUGGUUAAUACCCGAUUGUUCUGACGGUACCCAAAGAAUAAGCACCGGCUAACUUCGUG